UAACUGAAGAGUUUGAUCAUGGCUCAGAUUGAACGCUGGCGGCAGGCUUAACACAUGCAAGUCGAGCGGGGGAAGGUAGCUUGCUACUGGACCUAGCGGCGGACGGGUGAGUAAUGCUUAGGAAUCUGCCUAUUAGUGGGGGACAACAUCUCGAAAGGGAUGCUAAUACCGCAUACGUCCUACGGGAGAAAGCAGGGGAUCUUCGGACCUUGCGCUAAUAGAUGAGCCUAAGUCGGA
rnacentral:rRNA from 1 species